GCCGGGGUGGCGGAAUUGGUAGACGCACAGGACUUAAAAUCCUGUGGCCCCUCGGGGCCGUGCCGGUUCGAGUCCGGCCCUCGGUA
rnacentral:tRNA from 1 species